GCCUGGGUUUGCAGCUGGCUCAGGCUUCUCUCCCGGUUUCCACCGAGGGCUCGCUCCUGCUCAGGGUCCCCGCGUGGUCCCGGUGUUCCGAUGCCACCAGGCGGCGCUGUUCCCUUGCAUCCUCAACAUCAGAUUCCCAGUCCUGCAGGACAGGAACCGGAACGCCACCCUCCACCAGGGACUGGGUGCACCUUCUCCCCACCGCGCCUGAGCCCCCGGGGGCUUCUGGCCACUUACACCCCCAGGCCUAGGAGGUCAGCCGUGGGAUGCCUCUCUAUCGCAUGCUCCUGAUUCCACACUCAAACCUCACUUUCCGGUGGCUCUCACGUCGCCUUGAAUGUCUCACGGAGGGACUCCAACACAUGGCACCGCCACCCCAGCACCCACAGAGCACGCAAAGGAGAGCCGGCUACUGUAUCUCAAGUUGUGCAUGGUGGACAGUUAACCCCAAAACAAGUGGUGGCAAAAGGAGCAUGUGUGUAUGGGGCAGUGAGGCUACGGGGGCUGCCCUGGGGGCCUGAAUGUGACCCACCCCACCCAGGCCACAGCUGGACCAGAGCCCUGAGACCGUCAGAACUCACCGUCUCCACGAAAUUCAGGAGUGACUCCUUGUUGUGCUGCCAGAGUAUGUACAGGGCCUCCUCGGGGGGGAACUUCACACAGCCCAGCUCUACCGUGAUCUCAAAGCAGUUGGUGUGCAGGUAGUUGAAAUCGGACAUGCCUGUGGCACAGAGACAGCGGGGACGUCAGGGGUGUCAGCCGCACAGAGACAGCCGGGACGUCAGGGGUGUCAGCCGCACAGAGACAGCCGGGACGCCGGGGUGUCAGCCGCGCAGAGACAGCCGGGACGUCGGGGUGUCAGCCAAGUGCCCAGCAGGCAGGUGAGGCAUCGCCCUGUCUUCCGGGCUCUCCAGCUGGAUCCCAGCAGCAGACCGUGGAGUUACGCCUUGCCCCUGCCCCACCCAGCCCCUGCACCCCCCACCCCCCGCCCAGUCCCGCCCUGCGGAAGCCGCACCUCCCGUGAAGCUGUACCAGUCCGCCCCGUUGAUGAUGCUCCCCCUCUUCAGGAAAUUGCCUCCACACCUAUUCUCCGACCUGUCCAUCAUCAUGGGGUGGACGUCAGCGUAGGCUCUGGACAGCAGCUUGAACAUCUGGAAAAGAAACCUGGCUCAGAUAAGGAAAGGGUCCCCUGCAGGACGUCCUGUGAGCUGGGGUCAAUGAGGGGAGGAGCUGCGCGUGCAAACACCUGCAUUGCAGAUAGGAGAGGGGAAUGGUGUCUGCAGGUAGGAGAGGGGAACGGUGUCCUGCAGAGGACACAGUGUAUGUGAAGGCCCAGAGGUGGGUCACAGGCGGUCUGGCACUGCUGGAGUUCGGGGCCAGGUCCCAUGGGUAACUGGGGUAAUCACCGAGACUCUGCACACCUGGCCGGGUAGUGUGGGCUUUCUCUCCUGAGGUUACACACAGACAUGGUGUCCACAGGGUGUGUGCAGGUUGGCUUGACAGUUUAUAAAGCCCAGGCUGUUGGAGCAGUGAAGGCAAGGGUGGGCUGCAUUUUCCCCGACUUCAUCUCCAAAGCCAACUACUUCUAUGAAUAAUCACUGCUUCAUUCCCCACCCCACUCCACCUCCAGGCUGACCAGCACCAUCAGAGGCUGGGACUCAGCCUGCAGGAAGCCCCUCCCUGACUACCCCACCCUCCAGCUUCCACUGCAGUUGGCAGAGGGACAGAACACAGCUCACAGGAUCUGCCACCCUUGACAUGUUUGGAUGUGUGGCUGGGAUCCUGGGUCCCUCCCCACAGGCUUCCCUUCCCAGCCCAGAGCUUCCCCGCAUUGUGCCCAUCCCCCAGGCAGAGUCCACAGAUCCUCCUUUGUGGGGGCUCUGGGCCGUCUGUAAGUCCCAGACUGACCUUGGGCAGAGGCUCCUGGUGGGUCAGGCAGGCGAAGGGCUCACCCUGCAUGAGCUCAUCAGGGCCCCACCAAGCAGGACAGGUCUGUGCUGAGGAGGGGGCUCCCUCUGUCAGAAAGGAGGAGUGGAGGACACUAGAGGGUGGACAGGCAGGGCCCAGUGAGUGAGUGAGUGAGUGAGUGAAUGAGCGAAUGAAUGAGUGAAUGAGUGAGUGAGCGAAUGCGUGAGCAAGUGAAAGAGUGAGGGAAUGAGUGAAUGAGUGAGUGAAUGAGUGAAAGAGUGAGUGACUGAGUGAAUGAGUGAUUGCUCCAGGCCAGAGUGAAGAUCUCUCCCUGGUGGGGGUCAUGAGACUCGGACUCCCAGACGUGAGGUUUGGGGUUGGUGAGGAAUGGGUCCAGCUUCUCAGAAGUGAGGCUGUGCCAUCUGGACUCAGUCCCACAGACACAAACCAAGGGCACAAACACAACCCCACUCAGGCCCUGUGGUUCCAGGGUGGCAGACCAUGGACCACUAUCCUGCCAGCAGCCCCUGCACCUGUGGGUGGGGCAGCAUCAGCUCAGGAGUGGCCUGCCCUGCCUCAUAGCAGGAAGCCUCAGCGGACUUUCCCAUCAAGAAUGAAUCACAUCCAACAAACGGUCCAUCUGCCCAGGCCACAUCUGCUACAUUCUACCUGUGUCCCACCUCUGACCUGCCUUUAUCCGUCAGCUUGACAGGGUGUAGCCUCGGGGGGUAGGAGGGUGGGACAAGACUCUCUCCAAAGUCUGCUCCUGACCCAACCCACCGUGUCACCCUUUCUACCCACAAGGCCUCCCUGCCCUACAGUCCCUCCUCCCUGCCCUUGCCCUGGGGCCUCCCUCCCAUCACUGGUCAGUCUCUAGGGCUAAGGCAUGGAAGGUGGCUGCCGACCACCAGUCCCCAAAACCCUGGGGUGCAGGGGCCCAGAUCUGGCUAACACAGGCCUGACCUGGGAGGGCAGGUGCAGGACAAGGACAUCAGAGGAGCUGUCGGUCCAGAGGCUGGGCGCACAUGGGCAAGGAAGAGACACAGAUAAAUGAAACCAGGCGGGAGCAGGGAAGCUGGGACUGAAUGGGGACCCAGAAACACAGGCUGAGGACCGUGGGAAACCCAGCCCACCCAGCUCCUGCCCCAGGAAGCCCUUGGGAAACUGGCUAUGCUCAUUCCCACAGCAAGCGUUGGCAAAGCCAGAAAGGGGUUGGCAGGCAGGACACAGCAUGAGCAGGAUUCGGGCAAAGGGGCACGUGUGGAGCAGCAAAAGGCAGCCAUGGCCAGCCUGCAGGGCCUUGAACACUGUCCCCAGGCACUGGCUCUCGUCCGUAGGGCACCAUGGAAGUUUGGUGAAAGGGUACCUUGGCACACCCCAGCCAGCCCCUCUCAUGCUCCCCUGCCAAACCCAGGCCUCUCCUGGGACCCUGGUUUCCAGAGAUCACUGCCGGCCACAGGGCUGCAUGAUCACUGCCCGAUGAUUGAUGGCUUGGAAACAGUGUUAUUUUCUCUGGCUCUGAUGGGACUCACUGGGGUGAACAUCCCCCCUGGGGACGUCUUCUCACAUCUGGUUCUGAGGCUGAGACACACUGGGCCAGUGCAGAGGGGAUGCCUGCCCUGCCCUGCCAGCUCUGAGGCUGAGACACACUGGGCCUGUGCAGAGGGGGACACCUGCCCUGCCCAGCCAUGGCCCCCAAGAGCACAGGGGUGCAAGGCCAGGCCAGAAGUGGAGGCCGCCCAGUCACCUCUGCGGGCACUUGCAGAGGUCUGAGCAGAGAACCAGACACCUCACCCCUCGCACCCUUGGUGUGCACUACCUGCAAGAGUCAAUGAAUGAAUGAGUGAGGGAAGGAGUGCGGGAAUAAACCAAUGAGUGAAAGAAUAAGAGUGAGUGAAUGAGUUUGUGAGUGAAUGAAUGAGAGAAUGAGUGAGUGAAAAAGUGAGUGAAUAAGUGCAUGAGUGAAUGGAUGAAUGACUGAGAAAAUUAGUGUGUGAAUGAAUAAGAGAAUGAGUGAGUGAUGAGUGAAUGAGUGACAAUGAGUGAGUAAGUGAAUGAGUAAGUGAGUGAGGGAGUGAGUGAAUGCCUGAGUGAAUGGGUGAGUGAAUGAGUGAGGGAGUGGGUGAAUGAGUAAAUGAGUGAAUGAGUGAGGGAGUGAGGAAGGGAGUGAGUGAGUGAAUGGGUGAAUGUAUGAGUGGUGAGUGAGGGAGUGAGGGAGGGAGGGAGUGAAUGGGUGAGUGAAGGAGUGAGUUAAUGAAUGAUGAACAAGUGAAAGAGUGAAUGGGUGGAAGAAUGAACAAAUGCAGGACAAAUGCGCCGGUGGCCCAGGUGUUGCUGUCACUGCCCCUGGUCUGCAGAGUGCUCAGCUUGCUCUCCCCAUUCCUGCUGGGCCACAGCACUCGGCAUGGGCCCCUGCACCCGGCUCCCUGGGGCUCCCCUUGGUCUCUGCACCAGGUGGCCUGUGCCUCCAGUGCCCCUCCCUGCCCUGCAGCUGGAAAUCUCUACCUCACCUGUGGAGACCUUUUGGGAAACCGCCACCUCAGGGAAGCCCUCCUGAAGUCCCAGACCAGGCUGGGGGUUCCCCACCCCAACAUAUGCACGUGUGCACAUGCAUGCACACGCACACACGUGCACUCACAGCCCUCCUGCAGCCCUGGCAGUCUUCUCCUUGCCAGUUUCUGGCUCCAUUUCCCACCCUAGACUGAGGACCCCCAGCGCAGGGACCAGUCCCGUUUGCAUUCCCAAUGAUGGCCCCAGGACAGGGAGGGGCCCAGGUGAGGCAGGGCUGAUACCUGAGUGCCAACCAGGGGCCCAGCUAUGUGCUCGGCCGGGUGGCCUCAGAAAGGAGAACAAACGAUGUGUGACUGCUGUUAUGAGGGGCCCGGCACCUGGCACUUGCCCACCCAGGGCCAGUCCCUCUCUCCCUGCUCCUUCCCCCAAACACCAAGGGAAAGUGCAGGGAGGGAGGUGGAGGGCAGGCCUGGCUCUCCACGCGAAGCCUGGGGAGCGACUCUGGGCCAUCAAGGGGCCAGGUGGAGGGCAGGCCCAGCCUCCGGUGGAGUGGGGACCACUAGGGGCAGUUCAGGCAGCUAAGCUCCAGGAUCCGCAGCUGGGGGCUGGGGGCUGGGGGCUGGAGGCUGGGGCCCACCUCAGAUCACAACCCCUCCCUCAGCCUCCGCUUUCUUAUCCACAGUGUGGGAACGGACCAACUCCGCGCCCUCCCCCAGCAGGUCGUCCUAAGGUUAGGGUGGGUUGGGAGGGUCCCAGCAUCAUCACGGGUCUCAUCGCCCGCUGCUCUACGAACAGUAGGAGAAACUGAGGCCCGGAAAAGGGAGGGCCUCACCUAAUGGCCCAGUGGACGGUGGGACCAGAACUCCUUCCCCAUCCGGAGGAGCCCAGCACGUGAGAAGCAAGCACGACCCCCGGGAAGCAGGACGGGCGGGCAGCAUGCGCGCUGCAGCACUGCCCUCUGCCGGCGCCUCCCGGAAACGCACCCCUCUGCGGUGGGAAGCACUGGGGACCCCGCCAGGCGCGGGGCGGAGCUCAAAGGAACAGCAGCGCUGAGGCAGGGUCCCCACCCCAGGAGCUCCCAGACGGGGACAUGUGAAAGACAGUGCAGCCAGCCUCGGGGAGAUCAGGGGAGCGACGGCCCCUGAGGCCACAGACUUCCAGGAGGAAGGGGCUUCCCUGCAGAGCUGGGCCUGGAGCAGGUGGUGCUGACCCGCUCUGAGUAGAGGUUCCUAGGAGCUUUGCCUUCACUGAGCUCAGGACUGGAGGGGCACCAGCUCCAAGGGGACCGCGCACACUGUCUCCCUCCCCUGCACACACCCGACAGCCCUCUCACCUUCUCGUCGGGCGUGGGAGAAAACAUCUUCUCCUCCUGGGGGUGCUUGGAGAAGUCGAAGGGGUAGGACACCACCAGGUCGCCCCCAUGAAGGCUGGCUGAGAGCACAAAGGGUAUGGUCUGCAUCCACUUCAUGAUUGCCUUUGUCUCCGGGGCCACCUGCCCAGGACAGACGAGGCCGCCCUCAGGGCUGGGCUUUCCCACUGGCCCGCAGCCAUGCCCUGGGCUUCAGCAGCCCUCUGGGCUCCAAUGGUGCAGACUAUUAACGGUCUCUACAUCAACGCACCAGCUGGACUCGGCCCCCAUCACUGGGCCCCUGCGGGGAUCUAGGCGUUUCCAACAUGAAUCUCUGAAUCUCACCAACACCCCAGCAAGGAGGUGUUCCCAUUUCACAGACAGGUAACUGAGGCAGGGAGGGAGCACCAGGCUCUCCUGUCCCCAGGGAAGGACAACUCCAGAGAGCCUGGAAUAACUAGGGACCCCUGGAUGCCUUGGUGGAGACCAGCAUGGGCAGCGGCGGCUCCUACCUUACCCCACCAGUAGUGCUGGGGGAUGGGGAUGUGGUCGCUGCGUGCGCCGCGGGUCUCCGCCAGCCGGUAGUACUCGGACGUCAGGUCCGGGAAAUUUCGGUUCAGAUCCAGGUUCUGCGCGUUCUGCCUCCCGCUCGUCCACCCGUUGUAGCCGGCACCCUGAAAACAUGGCCAACCCCCGACUGGGUGGGGUCAGCACACCCCACCCUCCUCCUUCCAGAUGGGUCUCACGCUGGGCUGAGGGUCAAGGCCAGGGGCUGCGGUUUCCCCCGGCUUUAUGUGAUGAGCUCGGGGGCAUGCCUGACCCUUGGCCUCCUCUCCACCCCGGGGCUCCUUGCUGAUGUCACAGCCUUGGGGCCUUCCCUGGCUGCUCCCCCUGAGUGGGGCGCCCUCGACAGUCACCUGCUCUGCUCGUUGCCCACCUCCCCGAGAGCUACCCUGACCCCCCGCUGACACACACGGGCACCAUCGACUCCCUUUCCAUCAUUUUCCUCUAUCACACGCAUCACCUUUUUAAUUCACCUAGAAUUCUCAGUGCCUUCCUUCUCCCCAGCCCCUGAAGCAGGGGUUUGCCAGUAUCGACACCUGCUGAAUGCUCCUCUCCUAGAGAGGCAGGAACGAAGCACUGCUGGGAUAAACUACUCAUAAAUGGAUGAAUGAGGGGGUGGUUCGGGCGGUGGCCCACAGGAUCCAGGCAUCUGGGCGCUCACCUCGGCAGCUGCCACCUCAUAGCCGUCAGGGUUCAUGGAGGGCAGCAGGUGGAUGCGGGUGGUGUUGAGCAGGCGCUGGAUGCGGGGGUUACCAAGCAGGUACUCAGAGCACAGGUACUGGGCUAGGUAGAUGAGCAUCUCCCGGCCCGCCACCUCGUUGCCAUGAAUGUUGCCGAUGAGCUUCACCUCGGGCUCCACUGGGGGCAAAUACAGAGACUUGGGGCAUCAUCUCAAAGCCGGGGGUCCCCAAAGGCAUGAGGCCCCCCCACUCAGCAAGAAUGACCAGAUGGGCUGGGACCAAUUCAUACUUGUUUUGACUCAAGAACCUCUGUAUAUAAUGAGGUCUCAUCAAGGUCAUCACUUUUGUUAAGCUCGUUUUUUAUGCCUAGCCAGAAUUCUUAGUUAGCAUAACUCAAGAAUAUGAAUAAUAUAUGUUAUCAUUGAUUCAUGCAAAUUUAA